UCCAAUUCAUAAAUGCAAUGACACCUUGUUGAAACGAGUAUGGUCUGGAUUUUUCUUUUUCUCUUUUUUUUUCUGUGUUCUCUCUUGUUUCUCUUCACCUUAUUGCACAAUUUUGUUGUUGUUGUCAUUAUUAUGUGAUUCAUGACUUUUUUUUUAUCUCUCUCCUCUCUAUCUUAUUAUUCAGGGCAAAAAAAAAUAUACAUUUAAAUUGAAUAUAACCAGUAUUAUCAUCAUAUUUAUUAUAUAAUGUGUAAUAUACAAAUAUACAGACUAAAUUUCUAAUUUUUUUUUAUUGUUGGUAUAUUAAGAUAUCUCAAGUUAUUGAAUCGCUGAAUGAAGAAGAGGAAAAAGAAAA